GGGCGCAUAGCUCAGUUGGGAGAGCACCUGCCUUACAAGCAGGGGGUCAUAGGUUCAAACCCUAUUGUGCCCACCA
rnacentral:tRNA from 1 species